UUCCAACUGACGAGUCCCAAAUAGAACGAAAUGCGAGUUAUGGAU
rnacentral:hammerhead_ribozyme from 1 species